rnacentral:rRNA from 1 species
CCUACGGGAGGCAGCAGUGAGGAAUAUUGGUCAAUGGACGAGAGUCUGAACCAGCCAAGUAGCGUGAAGGAUGACUGCCCUAUGGGUUGUAAACUUCUUUUAUAUGGGAAUAAAAUGUUCCACGUGUGGGAUUUUGUAUGUACCAUAUGAAUAAAGAUCGGCUAACUCCGUGCCAGCAGCCGCGGUAAUACGGAGGGUCCGAGCGUUAUCCGGAUUUAUUGGGUUUAAAGGGAGCGUAGGUGGAUUGGUAAGUCAGUUGUGAAAGUUUGCGGCUCAACCGUAAAAUUGCAGUUGAAACUGGCAGUCUUGAGUACAGUAGAGGUGGGCGGAAUGCGUGGUGUAGCGGUGAAAUGCUUAGAUAUCACGAAGAACUCCGAUUGCGAAGGCAGUUCACUGGACUGCAACUGACACUGAGGCUCGAAAGUGUGGGUAUCAAACAGGAUUAGAUACCCCAGUAGUC